ensembl:snoRNA small nucleolar RNA SNORD113/SNORD114 family
CAUGACAUCGAUGACUGCUGGUGACAUAUGAGUAGUGGGUGAUGAAAAUAAGUGUCUGAAAUGCUGAGACCCAA